UACGUAGGGUGCGAGCGUUAAUCGGAAUUACUGGGCGUAAAGCGUGCGCAGGCGGCUUUGUAAGUCAGAUGUGAAAUCCCCGAGCUCAACUUGGGAACUGCGUUUGAAACUACAAGGCUAGAAUAUGUCAGAGGGGGGUAGAAUUCCACGUGUAGCAGUGAAAUGCGUAGAGAUGUGGAGGAAUAUCAAUGGCGAAGGCAGCCCCCUGGGAUAAUAUUGACGCUCAUGCACGAAAGCGUGGGGAGGAAACAGGAUUAGAGGCCCAGGUAGUCCACGCCCUAAACGAUGUCUACUGGGUGUUGGUGGAGUAAAAUCCAUGAGUAACGCAACUAACGCGUGAAGUAGACCGCCGGGGGAGUACUGUCGCAAGAUUA
rnacentral:rRNA from 1 species